UUGGGCGUUGAUAAAUCAACCGUUUGCAUGCGUCUAAAAGCGAUGGGAAUGAUCCAAAAGCAAGGACAUUGGGUCCCGUACGAGUUGAAGCUGCGCGACGUCGAACGGCGACUUUUUACGUGCGAAUUGCUGAUCGAGCGACAAAAUCGGAAGGGUUUUUUGCAUCGGGUGGUGACUGGCGACGAAAAAUGGAUCCACUACGAUAACCCAAAACGCAAAAAAUCAUGGGGUUUGCCCGGCCACGCAUCAACGUCGACGGCCAAGCAGAAUAUUCACGGCAAGAAAAUCAUGCUCUGCAUUUGGUGGGAUCAGGUCGGCGUCGUAUAUUUUGAGCUGCUCCAACCGGGCGAAACAAUCACGGGGGAUCGUUACCGACUGCAAUUGAUGCGUUUAAGCCGGGCAUUGAAAGAAAAACGGCCGGAAACGGUAAAAAGGCACGACAAGGUUAUUUUGCAACAUGACAACGCUCGGCCGCAUGUUGCUCAACCUGUCAAAAAAUACCUUGGAACGCUUGGCUGGGAAGUGUUACCCCUUCCGCCGUAUAGUCCAGACAUAGCUCCCUCCAAUUAUCAUUUGUUCCGGCAUAUGAGUCUCGAUUUGGCGGACCAGCGGUUCUCCUCGUACGAGGCUACCAAAACAUGGGUUGAGUCAUGGAUAGCCAAGCAGCGGCCAGAAUUUUGGAGAAACGGCAUCCGGAAAUUGCCCGAAAGAUGGGCGAAAGUUGUAGCUAGCGAUGGCCAAUACUUCGAAUAAAAUAUUUUGUACCGUUUUUUCACAAUAAAGCCCCAAAUCUUCGAAAAAAAACCUUUAAAACUAAUUCAACCUCCAAUAAUUUUAGUAAGUUUUCCAAAAUGAUGUCCCACAUUUUAAAACUAAAAACAUUAACACUAAUAGUUAUUAAAUAAUGAACAAAUAAUAAUAUGAUCGAUACGUAUAAUAAAUGAAACGCAUGCCAUAUUUGAAAUGGCAUAUAAUCGCGAUUAAUUAUGUUGAUGAAAGACCGCAUACGAAGAUUUUUCGCACUAGCGCUUAUGGGAAUUUUCUGCUUACCGACGUCCAAGGCAUAUUGACGUAUUGGCAUAUUACAUAUAUACAUAAGUAAUACAGACGAUUGUAUUCACUUUUUUUAGAUAAAGAGGCAUAACUUCAUUUAAUACACCACAUAUUAUUUUUAUUGCCAAAAUAGCAACACAGAAAUACCCUUCAUGCGCAACGAAACUAAUCAGUUAUUCCUAAGCACAUUGACACUACUAAAAAAUAGUACGAUUUAAUUGAUCUUGCGCAGGCGAAGCGGGACGCAAUUAACAAAAAAAAAGCAAACAUAACGGUACUUUUCCUGUUAAAGAAGAUAGUCAUUACAAAAAACUUCUUGGCUAGUUAGAAAUGUGUACUGAGAGAUAAUUUAUGGGAAAAUCGAUAUACUGCUAGCACGUGAAAAGAGCUGGCAAAAAUUACACCUCAUUCAUACAGGGCAAUUUAUAUGUAUUACGCUUCAACAAGUUGGGGACGAGUUGAGAAUCAUAAAUUGGAAAAAAAUUAUUGAAAAUAAAAUAUUAUGGUAAACUCAUGGACAAAGAAAUAUUUGAAUAGUUAUUAUAAGUUUUCGCCAAAACCCAGCGGAAUUUGCUGCAACAAGUAAAGCAAGUUCUAUCUUCAAAAGCAGCAACAACAACUUACAAUAUUAUGUUACUGCUAUUCGAGAAUUUCGACAAAAAUAAGGAAACUAAAUAUAUAGUCAAGUGUGUGGAAAUGAAAAGAAUAUUUGCAAAUAAAACAUUAUGAGAUCUGCUCAUAAAAUCUGUCUACUCAUUAUUAGUGUCAUAGAUUGUUCGUAAAAACCCAGCAGAGCUCAAUAUGAAGAGUUGGUAGCAAAACUAAAAAAGCAUGUGUAUUCUAAGAAAGACAUUUUUCUAGCUCAAUUCAUUAGAAGAACCCAAGAUAACACAAUCCGCGAACAGCUCAUUCUGGCAGAAUAUUUAAGAAAAUUGUUUGGGAAAAACACUAUCUUUAGAAGCAUUCAACAUAUGUACAUAGAUAGCCGUGAACUCAAUGCAAAAUUACAAAGUGCUAUAAAUGAUGUCAACAAAGUACUCGCAGGUAUAAAUCGUAGUAGAAGGCCGCGGAUACAUUCAAUAAUAAUCAAAAUUAAACUUGAGGCAAAUAGGUAUCGGAAACUUAUGCAUACGAAGCGGAAGAGAGAAUCACAAAACAAAGGAAUGUCACGUAAAGCGGCAUAACCUCAUAUGUAAGUCAUGUGGAAAAAAGGGGCAUGUUCUGUUCGACAAGUAUGCCUAAAGUUUAAUGAAUACUUCAAGCAACAAUUACUCAUGUUAUAUGCAUUAAAAACGAUAAUUUCAAGAAUGAUGUUGGUAUUACAUAAUGAAGUAAUGCAUUCAGCUUAGAAUUCCACUGUAUUUAGUGCACUACCCCCAUUUCUGCCGAAAUUACUUUUAGGAAACACUUCAAGUAUUACGAAAAUAUUUUUACGUGAGAAAAUUUUUACAGAAAAUUCGCGCCACGCUGCUGCGUAUGUUUGGAACCAAUAAUGCCAGAAACCGGUGAAGAAGAAACUGUACGUGUCGUAGCGUUAGAUCGCAGUUUUCACUUCGGAUGUUAUAAAUGUGAAGACUGUGGUUUGUUGUUAUCGUCAGAAGCCGAGGGUCGUGGAUGCUAUCCUCUGGACGGACAUGUACUCUGUAAAAGUUGUAAUGCAAAACGUGUGCAAAUGCUAACAAGUCGCAUGGCAACAGAGUUAUAAACAAACUUAUUACUGUGACAUAUUAUGAAUAUUAUGUAUAAUUUCUACACUCGUAUGUAAAAUUAAAAUAAAUAAAAGUUCGUUUGGUUUGCUGACUUUUUAAAACCA